GAUGGAUUCUUGUCAGCAUUUUACGUCGUCAAUGGGUCUCCAUAGAUUUUGGAAGUCGUAAAAUGCAAAUUACAUAUUUAAUCAAUCUGAAUAAAUAAUUAUUGUUUUAUUUAUUAGUUUAUGUAUUGUUGAGUCUAUUUCUAUUAAAGAAAUUAAGUUGUUCGUGAUUUUUUCUUUGAUUUGCGACAAUUGCCAUAAAAUGCGCAGUUCCGUAGAGAAUGUCAACAUGUCCAGGUCGUUUCCCGUAGAUAACCCCGAGAGGAUUGUUUUGUAAAAUAUACAAGCCGUAAACAUUAUUGAAGCAUUGUAGAAGCCCAGGGAUGAUUAAAACAAUUUUAAGUCACCCAUUUCUUUAUGCCCGGAACACCCGAUCAACCAAAGGAAACUUGAACUGUUGAAGGUCACAAACAUGCGAGAUUGCAGACCCACGUUGCCUCGAUCGCCUGAUGUACGUCAUGUCGGGUCACUGUGCAGUGAGAUUGUAUAUGAGCAAACAGCCCUACAGUACUUAAUUUACCCAGGAGUAGACUACUUGUAGUUGAAGGUAGACUGAAGGCCAGACUUAGGCAGGAUGAUUGAACAAAGUCUGCUUGCAGAUAGACUACCUGAGGCAAAAAAAUUGGACUCUCAGGAGGUGAACAGAUGUUCAGCAAGAAAUUCGCACAUCAAAUGCUGUGAAUUACACUGAUAUCCCCCCCCCCCCACCAAAAAAAAAGAACAGAGAGACCAAUCAUUAACAGCUUGAGACUUGGUGCACGUAACCUUGCCACAGAAAAGGGGAUUUGCCUAUAAACACUCCUUAAUGAAAGAUUUUGUAAAUUAUUUGUUACACAGGAGAGAUUUAAGAUGUAUUUCGUUUUUAUUU